rnacentral:rRNA from 1 species
UACAGAGGGGGCAAGCGUUGUUCGGAAUUACUGGGCGUAAAGGCGCGUAGGCGGCCUGCUAAGUCGAACGUGAAAUCCCUGGGCUCAACCCAGGAACUGCGUUCGAUACUGGUUGGCUUGAAUCCGGGAGAGGGAUGUGGAAUUCCAGGUGUAGCGGUGAAAUGCGUAGAUAUCUGGAGGAAUACCGGUGGCGAAGGCGGCAUCCUGGACCGACAUUGACGCUGAGGAGCGAAAGCCAGGGGAGCAAACGGG